ACUUCAACCUUGACUGUGUGUUUGUGUAAUUUUUUAAACUGUGCAUGGGCUUUUCCUGGGGUUUUUGGCUGAAUUCUGUGGGAAGUGUCCCACUAGCUACUACCACGUACGGGGAAAUGAGCGCCAGGAUGAAUCCACUAGUUUGAACGCCCAGUUUACAGGGACAGCAACUCUUGGAGCGGGGAACAGUUUCUGCCUGCCGGAAUCUUGAAAUAGACAGCCCAGCACUUGAUUCCCAAGCCUGGGCUUCACAAAUGCUGCUCUCCCAGAAACUCUGCUGUUUUCAGGCUCUGGAUGGUCCUGGUUUCCUGAGAUACAAUUGCAAAGGAUUUUGCGGUUGUUUGCAUUUGGAUGGAUGUAGAUGAGACUGCUUUGACCUGCAUUUGCUUUUCAAAGUCAUCAAAAUUGAGGACAGUGACAACCUCUGGUGGGACGCGUUUGCCACUGAAUUUUUUGAAGAUGACGCCACAUUAACCCUUUCAUUUUGUUUGGAAGAUGGACCAAAGCGAUACAAUGAGCCACAGUGAGCAAAUGAGAUAACUUGAAGUUACCUGGAUAGGUAACGGAGAGGUGGAAAAGACGGAAGAGAACAGAAGUAAAGGUGCUGUGAAAAGUGAUCCGAGAACUAAUUUAUAGAAGAUGAGUGUGGAAUCUGGGGCAUCAUGAAAACAUACUUUAUCAGAAAGUGUGAAAGACCAAAACUGGGACUUCCGGGAGAACAUGGCGGACAGAUAACAGCAACUACCAGAGGCUCUCUGAAAGACUCGGCUCAGAAGCCAUGAAUGGUGCAGACUAAGGAGACAUAAGCAGGUGGAGAUAUGCUCUGCUGACUCAGGAACGAACUGGGCUGAGAGAAACCAACUUGGAAUGCAGUCCUGGUGCUAAAACAGGAACAGAAAAGCCUCGGUGUGGAGGCUGGACCCCGCACCAUUGUAAGCCACGAUUUGGGUUUCCCGCCGUGCGGCGGCUGGCUGCCUCUACAGUGGCUCGGCAAGGAGAGACGUGCAGAAGCUCUGAGAACGGCAAUCUGCGAACGGCAGGGAGGCGUGCACUGACUUGUGGUGAGGUGAGUGAGAGAAACUGACUUUCUACCACAGUUCGACUCCAGCAGAGGACUUUCUGGGCCCGAGCAGUCCUGCGGGAGCAGGGCGCGGUGGCGACUCCAGCCACACAUCCCCCUCUCGGGCGGGAUUGGUGAAAAGAGCCUGGCCUGCGUGACGCUGCCGGCGGACCUGGUAGGCUGUCCCAACCCAGAUCCCAGAGCCUGACGGUGGCCGGGAGGGGAGACGCGUAGGCUGCCUGGUCCGUAACUCCCUGGUGCACAGCAGUGAGCAGGAACACCUAACUGGCGCAAUUUGAUCAGGCUGUGGCUGACUGGGAGAGAAGCUGGGCCUCAUAUAAGCUUGCAUAUAUAAGGAACAGAGAAGAAGAAGCAGCAUGGGAAGAGGCAGCAACAAGAAAGGCUCCUCAGCCCCCAAUUCUGAGAAACAGGCAAUAGCAGACACCGCAGCAAUACACAUAAGGCACCAUAUAGAGAGCCUCAUAGACCAAUUCAGGAAUGAAGUUAUCAACGACCUGAAGCUAGAAGUAUGCAGAAUAGUUAGAGAAAUGCUAAGUAUCACCCAAGAAAAAACAGGUGGUGGAAUGGAAGAACAGAAAAAAAGGGGAGAAUUGUUUGAUGGAGAAAACAGAGAAAGCAUAGAAUACGUGAAGCAGGUUCAAAGGGACUACCAAGAUACUAAGAAGUCUAUCGAAGACUGGCAUAACAGCUUGAAAGAAACUAAGGACAGACUAUCUGAACUGGAGGGCAGACUUGUAAUAUGGGAGAAUGAAAUGAAAAACUUCUUAAAAAUAACAAAGAAACAAACAGCAAUAAUACAAAGACAAGAAGAUGAUAAGAGGAUCCAUAACUUAAGGAUUAAGAACAUAAAAGAAGAAGUAGGGACACAAACAAGUGAACUACAAAAGCUACUCACAGAAAUAAUCCAGGAGAAUUUUCCUAAUUUAGCAAAAGGUAAAGAUACUCAGAUGUAUGAGGCAUACAGGACCCCAGCUACCUACAACCCAAACAGAGCAACACCCAGGCAUAUAAUAAUAAAAAUUCCAGAAAUUCAAUACAAGAACAGAAUAUUAAAAGCUGUCAGAGACAAGAAACAGACCACUUACAAGGGAACACCCAUCAGAAUUACAGCAGAUUUCUCUGCACAAACCAUCAAAUCACGAAGAGCGUGGGGGGAAAUAAUUCAAGCUUUGAAAGAUAAUAAUCUCCAGCCAAGAUUGAGAUAUCCUGCACAACUGUCCCUGGAAAUUGAUGGAAAAACAAGGUGCUUCCAGGAUAAAGAGGAACUGGGGGAAUUUGCAACCACCAAUUCAACUCUACAGAGAGUAUUGCAGGAUAUUCUAAAAAAAGAAAAAUACAAAGAAUCCAGAAAUAGUGGCAGAGAGGCCACAACGAAUGGAGCAGAGAACAAAAUGAAGAAGACAAACUGACAGUUACUGACAGAAAAAGAGCUCAACAGAAAUGAGGCAGAGAAGAUUGGAUGACAGGAACAGCUAUUUUGGAGAAAAUGACAUCUUAAUAGGUAAUACUGAUUUAGUAUCAUCUUGUUUUGAAGUCUCAUCUAGCUUUUGUCCUUCUGUCUCCAAUGGUCUAAAUAGGCUGUAUCUUAUUGGAUUUUAUUAUGUACGAUAGUAUAAGCAAAAACCUUUUAAAGACAAGGAGACUAUACAGAAACCAUUGUUCAUUUUCUGUUAGUCGAUUCUAAAUACUCUGUAAUGCUGUCAUUCUCUUGAAUGGUUUUACAUUGUUUUGAUAUACUUAAUGCUACAGUAUACGAAGUUGUACUCAAGGAUUUCAAAGAAAGAGACAAUAUGGUAACUACUUUUAGGUUAGGAUUAUCUGGUGGUGAAACACUAUUCUGCUUAAAUGGUUAUGUUUUGAUCUGCGCUGUUUCAUUGUCAUGCCCUCUUUUAUCUCAAUCUCCACUCCAUUAUUUACUUUUUUAUCUUUAUCCUUUUAAUUAAAGGAAAAAAAUAGCAGGAUAUAUUAUAGUAACCCACUUUGACUUUUCAUUACCUUGAUUUAAAGCCCUGUAUUACUCUCACCAUCUGGUUUUUAACUGAUGUUCCCCUAUUCUGUUUUGCUGGAUAGUAUCAGGUUCGAAAGUUUAGGCAUCAGCUGUGAAGAUAAUGAGAUUCAUUAUGACGCCCAUUCUUGUUGACUUUUAUCUACUUUUGAAGACCUACAAUGUCUCCAAUGUUUUGGUUUUGUCGGUUUUAUUCUUUACUGUUUUGUUCAAUUGUAUUAUAACUAACGAUAUAGGCAAUUCUAUUAGAGAUAGCGGGAGGCAUUAUGGUAACCAUUGUUGAUCACCUUGUAUUAUGUUUUUACAUUAUCUAUUAUGUCCACCCUUUUGACUUGACCGAUUCUGUUCUGUUAUGUCACAUUUGGUUUUACUCUCUUCCAAAAAAGUAAUAAGAACCGUGGGAGCAAUGAAACCCAAAAUGUGUAAUAGUCAUGGUACAAAAGAGAGGAAAAGAAAGUGCUCCAAACUAUAUAACUGCAUGUAUAUUUAAGUGUAUAAGAUAGAAAAUGAUAUCACAGAGUUUAAUUGGAUCAAUGAACAGAACUGUUUGCAGUAUCAUUGAUGGAAUGUCCACUUUACAAGCUUUAAUUUUGUGACUUGAACAAUUAUUUCUAAGAUGACAAUAUGUAAUCCAUUAACUAGUGAUUUCCUACUGUUCAUUUUUUUUCUGUAAAUCUGUAUAACUUGUACCCUUUUCCUGCUUUUUUUUUCUUUUCUCCUUAAAUAAAAUUAAAAAAAAAAAAAAAAAAAAGAAAGACCAAAACUGACUCAUGUGACUGACGAGACUGGGCAUCUGGUGGAGGUGAGAGCUAAUGUAUCGGAUCUACCUCCUUAAGGGACCACCUGAAACUUGAGGUAUUGAAGCAUAGACGUCAUCAUGUCUGGCUGUCCACUGGUUGUCAUGUUGUCAUUCUGUAUUUAAGGAAAUUUUCUCAAUAUCAGAAUUGAAGCAGUAAUAAAUGUCCCACACACUCCCCCGCUCUUCCUAAAGAUAAACACAGCUCCCUCAAAUGGGCUACCAUGCUUCACGUGUUCCUGAGAGAGGAGUGCUUGCUUCAGCCCAGAGACAGCUGUUCUGGGAGAGCGUUCAUAAACUGUGUGCAAGCGGCUUGACAAGUUGACAAAACACUGACAAAAAACAAUUACUCAAGAAGCAGCUCUUGGAAGGGUGGUUUGUUGUUUAGAAGACACCAACGAAACCGAGAAAAAAAAUAUGUUAGGUACUAUUUUUGCCAUUGUACGAAAAAGAUUAUUUCCCAGAAUGCAUCUAACACUGUGAGAAAAAUGUCAAUAAAUGAAAUGGCACACUAUCAUCCACUAAGUUCUUAUGCUUUAUUUGUGAAAUACACUUAAUUAGUGGACUGAUUAUACCCUUCCAGUUAACAAAAUGCAGAAGUUAUUUUAAGAUGUCUAUAUAGCAAGUACUUAGAAUACACAAAAUAUUUUGAAGUAUUUAAACUAUCACAUGUAUCUCAUCAGCCUGAAUAAUCACUAUAUUUUCAGUGAGGAGGCAUGAUCUGCAUAUUCUAUUUCUUUUGAGAAUAAUAAGUCUUCUUAUUUGGAAAAUAGAGAGAAAUCAACAUUUUAACAUCUCUUCACUAUAAAUAAUAUUAAUGAUGAUUAUGAUAGUAAAUAUCACUUAGGUCUUAUUUUUAUGCCAAUUACCCAUACUAAAUAUUUCACUUACACUAUUCUAAUGUAUUCUUGAUACUUGUCUCUGAGAAAGGAAGUGUUGUCAGCCUUGCAUUGUAGAUGAGCAACCUGAAUUUUGGAGUAAAUUACAUUUUCAAGAUCAUACAGCUGAUACUUACUAGAGCUACAAUUUAAAUUUAGGUAUACGAUGCUGUGGGCACUACAGUUGGCAUGUAUGAGGAGACUAUGAGGUUUAAGAAAAGGUACCCCUUCAUCAAAAUACUCUCAUCUUCCUCUGCUAAGAAAUUACUGUAAUAAACUGGCUGUGUAGACCAAGAAAGCUUACUGCCAUAUACCACAAAAUUGUAAUAUGUGAACAGAUCUGCAGUAUCUGUGCCAUGAAAAAUACCUCAUAGGGGUGGCUUGGUCAGGCACCAUCUCCAGACAUCCAGAUACUUAACCAAUUUUGCCAUUCGGAUUCAGACAGGAAGCAAUUUUCAUUAUGUACAAAAGCAAAUUAAUUAAUUAAUUUUAAAAUGUUCUGUAGCUACCUUCUUCCAGUUUUUCCAAAGAUAAGCUUAGGUGAAGCAUGGCAUUUCUUGACAUCAAUUAUGUUUCUGUUUAUUCAGCAUCUACCUGCUGAUCAUUACAGAAAGUUAACAUUUACCCAUAUGAAGAGCAGAAAGUCAGAGGCAACCUCUGCCUUUCAGGACCUCACAGUCUAAGUAGGGGAAUAAAUAAAGGCACAGGAUUAUGGUAAAGUUUCAUGGAUUUCCUUUCUAGAGUCCCCUGUGGGUGACUGAUCAUGGCCCUCUGUAGGCGAGCCAUUGACACUGAGGAAAGUCAGACCCCAAACCUGACUCCAUGGCAAUGAAGUCCCAGUGGAUUCCUAUUAGUUUAGUAGUACUAUCAUUUCAUUGUUAAUGAUUUUGUCGGAUUUUCUUUAUAUAGAUAUAGAUAUAGAUAUAGAUAGAUAUAGAGAGAUAGAUAGAUAGAUAGAUAGAUAGAUAGAUAGAUAGAUAGAUAGAAUUUAUCUCCAUCUGGUAUUUUAUCAUCUUGUCCACUGAUCCCUUAAUGUACCAAAUUAAUUUCCUUUUCUUUUUUAUUUUUUCCUCAGAACUUGGUUUCUGUCUGUUUACUCAUCAUGUUCCCAUCCUUUCUUUCUCCUCUCUAAGCUUUCUUUCCUUUUGGCAUAUCCUCACAGCUACUGUGCAGUUCAUUGUCAUAUUCACCAUCCUGGCUUGAUGCUGAUGGCGUGACCUCAUCUUUCUCCCUGUGAUGUCUCAGAGUGCUUUGGUUUUACUCUCUGAGUCAUUUACUUUUGCAAGGCUUCUUGCACUAUAGAAGAUGAGACUAAGUCAAGUUGUGUUCCAACUCUCAUUUGAUUUCAGGAUUGUCUAUUUCCUUCCUUGCCCGCUGAUUCUUAAGCUUCCAUUGUCCUGGAUCAGGUUCCUUCACUUCUUUGGCUGUUCAUGGUAAUUAUUCUUGCACCAUUUUGUUUUCUUGGUUAAUGGUCUUAUAUAUUGAGGCCUCUGCUGAUCAGAUGCUCAGAUACCAACUUCUGUUUCCCAUAGCCACCAAAUGGCCUCCCUGUUUCUUUGUCUUAAAAUAGCAUCCAUUCACCAGAGAAAUACCACCUUCAUCUCUUCCAUCUCCCAAUCCUGUAUCCAAACCCUGGAGCUGUUCCCCAUCUGUUCCAUCUUCUCAGCUACAUUCUUCUCCUCCUUGUAGUUCUCAAGUUCCUACCAUUAUUUAGACUGGUAUUUUCAUCAUGAGCUAGAACACACACACACACACACACACACACACACACACACUUCAAGGAUGUCAUGUGGGCUGUCCUGUUUGUUAACUGCCUUAUUCUGAGAGCUAAACAGACUCUACCUUCCAGGCGUAUGGUGCGAUGUUAGUUUAAUUUAUUGGGUCAUGAAAACAAGAAGUCUGAGCGUAAACUGCAAGUGACUUAAUUAAAUGAAAACCAAAGUGGCAUCUAGAAAUCAUUGUUGAAUUUUAACUGAAAAUGACAAUGUUUCCUAUUGUAGACCAGUUCAAAAUAUCAAUCUUGCAUAAGAUACCAGAUAAAAGAGAAGUGGUUCUUUAGGACCUCUUUAACUUACACUCUGCUAUUUCCAGAGGGAAAUUUGGAACAAAACUAUGUGAGCUUGACUUUGCAUCUGUCAGUUACCUGCUGCAAGACCUGAGCCAAGUUACCUCACUUCACUACAUGCCAGCUUCCUUAUACAGUAAAACCUUGGUCUUCGAGCAUAAUUCAUCCCAAAGCAUGCCUCUAAAUUAAGGUAUUUCUAUGUCAAAGUAAUUUCAUCAUAAGAAAUGAUAGAAACUCAGUUGCUUCAUUCCACAACCCAAAAAUAUUCAUGUAAAAUUAUUCCAGUGCUACAGUGUAAUACAAAGUAACAAGGAAAAUAUGCAACAUGAAGAAAAAUAAAAUAACCUGCAUUUACCUUUUAAAACCUUCAUGGCUAAUGUCAGGGAGACAAGAGAGAAAAGGGUCACUAUGUAGGACAAAUUUCAGUCUCUCUAAGGAAAUCACUGCUGUCUAUUGGCUCAAUGGAAUCUUUUCCUUUUUGUGCAACUUUAACAAGGAACCUACAAAAUGGCACUUGGUUUUUCCUCCUUUUGAGGAUUUCAUGAAAAUGUGACAUAGCAUUUCCAUCAUCAAACAAAUUCAUUCAUCAUUUGCACUGCUGUAACCUUAUUGUGUGGUGAUAUUCUACAAAAUUUUGUGUUUCUUCUCACAUUUUAUACAUCUUCUUAAUCUCACUACAAAUGAAGGGUUCUUCUUCUUUUUCUCCUCUGCAGAGGAGAUACUCUCCAUACCCUCUUGCUGUUGGGAGAAGAUCACUCACACUCCUGCAGAAAGGUGGGGGCAGACAGAGAGCUCAUUGGCAUCAUGAAAUGUUCAGCAUCACGGACUACCCAUACUGCCAAGACAUCACUUACUUAUCUGGCUAAAAUUUAUUGGAAAUCUGUGUUUAUCUUGCAGAACACUUGCAGAACAAAUCACCCACAUUCCAAGGUAUUCCUGUUUUUUGGAGAGAACAGCAAUACUCACUUCUGUUGCGAGGAUUAGAUUACAUAACAGGUAGCAAGUAGCUUAAAUAUUGCCUAUAUUAGUCAGUUUUCCAUCACUACAAAAAAUACUCAAGACAAUUAAUUUAGAGAAUUUUUACUUUUGCUCAAGAUUUCAGAGGUUUCUGUGAUCAGUUGGCAUCAAUGCUCUCAGGGCUGUGGUGAGGAAGUGUAUCACAGCGGGUGUGUGUGGUGGGACACAGGCACUCUCGUAAUGAGAUAGGAAACAAGAGGAAGAGGGGCAAAGGAAGAAUGCCUUCUCUCUCAUUUCUGCAGCAAAAUAACCAACAUUCAGAAUGAAGGGAAGGAAGAAUUAUUUAGCUCUCUGUUUGUGGAAGUUUCAUUCUUGAUCAGCUGGCUCCAAGGCAGAACCGCAUGGCACCAUGCCACACUUGAAGUUAGCAGCCAGCAAAAGCAGCCAGAGCAAAAAGGGAAGAACAAGCCUCUUCUCCUGCCUUAUACUGUAAACAGGCUACACCCCACCAUAGUGGAUGUAGCACUCACACCACCUCUGUGCUCUCCUCUUGCACAUAGGCUGAAGAUGUUUACAAAAUAAGGCUCUUAACUAAAUUUCCAAACUUCUUAAAUUGAUGCAAUAUAUCAACCAUAACACUGAGGUCUCAGAAUCCCCUCCAGGGGCAUAACCCCAGUGGCCUAAAGACCUCUCUAUCUCCUAAAGGUUCUGCCACCUUUCAAUAGCACUAUGCAGUGUCCUAUGCUUUUAAUAUAUAGCCCUUUGGGGCACAUUCGAGAUCCAAAACAAUAGCAGUACCUCUCUGGUAGUAAAUGAUCAGAAAAAAAAUGUUAACUGCUACUAUUACUUUCACUUCAUAGAUCUAAAAAACCAUAAGAAGGAGGGAAAGAACAACUUAUAGGCCUUGUUUUCUACUUGUGACUUAUUCUUCCUUUGAAAACUGCUCAGACUAUCACUGAAGGCUCUCUAAUAGCCAAGCACAUGUGGGAAAUCCCUCUAUUUCAGUAACCAUCCAUACGUCAUAGCCAUUUGAAGACUUUCUAUUACUGCUCUUAUCAGUCUACAUCACAGUUAUCAAAUUUUCCUGCAUGAGACUGUUAGUUCAUCUGUUUGCUCAUCCUGUAAAUAUUAUUUUGAAUACUCACAGGAUGAAAUACUUUUUCUCUUCUCUCUUUCAGGACAUAUGGAUCCUAAGACACUCAAUGAUUGAUUACAUGAGUAGAUACUAACAUUCUAAUUGAUGAAGAACCACAGAGGAGAAAUCCAAGUCUUUUACCACACCAUCUGCCAUCUCCUGGCAAAUUCUCCACAGAAGAAUGGAACAAGAAAUCUCUACAAUGGAGGCAGUGAAGAAUAAUUCAUCCUGUGCUGUCAUCCCAACAGGGUUUAGCAUUCCUUCACAGAAGAGAGCAGGAAAGGCUUCCUGCUUAGCCUCGUGUGUCCAGCAAAGGUCACCUGCCCUUCAGUGAGAGUCACUCCUCUGUGGACAUGACAUGCCAUCACAGCUAAUCGGUAGCCACUUAAAUUGAGCCCUCUUAACCAUGACCAUUUUCAGAUGAGGGAACUGAAGCACAAUGAAAUUAAGCACCUUAACCUAUCAUGACUUUUCAUUACAACUAGUAAGUGAGGGUAUGCAGCAAAAUAAAGUUUUGUCAGAGAUUGCGCCAUGAGGAACAGGUGUACAUUUUCCUUGCAUGGUUCUUCCUUGAGAUCCUGGCAAGAUUUCAAACCUACAUAACUGAAGAUGCAGUGGAUAUCAUUUGGGGAUGAAGUCUUCUCAAAACCAUUGACAUAUGCUGAUUGUUCAUGGCUAAUUUCAUACUGUGGGUCUCCUACGACAGUACUUUUCCUGACAUCAGUGCCACUGAGGAACAGGGAGAGAAAGCUUCAGAUGAGAAUGAACGAAAGCCAUGGACUUGGAAAGAUGAUGAAGUAGAAUCUCAGGAACCGAUGGGAGUAAGGUAGCUUGGAGUAGUGUGUGAGGAGAGAACAGGAGCUGUUCUAGUCAGCAUGUGACUGCAUAAGCCACCACUCACACUCAGCUCUCACAUCCUUGAUUUGUACAAAUGAGUUCACAGCAAAGCCUGCCUCAUGAGUCUGCAAUGUCGAUAAAACAAGAUGAUGCACAAAAAUUUGGUUUCAGUCCACAGUGGGUUAUCAGAUAGCUUUUCAAGAUUUCAGUUUCCUGUCCUGUAUCAACAUGCAUGUCAAGCAAGAGUGUGGGACACAAUACUCUUCACAGAUCUCUUCCUCCAAGCUAUUUUGUGAUUUCCAGGCAAAACGAAAUGGAACUGAGUUUCCACAUAGAAUCAGUGGGAACCAGGAGUGAUUGGCUACCCUCCACAGCUUCAAGGCAUUCUUUAUAAUGGAUGAUUCCAUCACAGUGAACACAGCACACCAGAAUCAUGUAGUGUUUCCUAUCAUGAAGAGAAGCCACUGAAAUCAGCCAGCACGGAACAAUGCUCAAGCUUCUCUGAGUUUUCAGAGAGUUUCAAACUGCUUCUCUUGAAAAAACCAUCCACAGGAUUCAGGAAAGUAUACUGCGUAUGUCAUUCCUUUUGUAGUCUCCCCAGUUGAUGAGCUAGGAGAGGUCAUGGGAGAGUUCUCAAGUGAGUUUUUGGUAUAACUCAUUCAUUGCCAAUCACAGGCAGUCUACUCCGUCCCUGGUACUGUGGGACACAGCAGUGACUCAGAGUUAUCAUCUCACCAUUUAGAGAGCUUACAGUCUCCUGAGGAGGACAGACAGUUCCCUUCAGUGGGGGAUGCACUCUGUUACUCCUGGGAAGAAGGCAUGAAGAAACGACGAAGCAAUGCUUUCUCCAAAUUUCCAAGAAAUGAUUUUCAAGGAUAAAUAGACCAAAGGAAAGUAAUAUCAUUCCAAAGAGAUGGAACUCACAGAUAAAACCUGAGAAGCAGGAGAAAGCUGAAUAGCCACAUCAGAGGAGUGAAGAAGUUCUUUGCUGCUAAAAGCCCCAGUGGUAUGGGGUGACAGUAGAGACAUAGAGAAAAGUAGGGGACUAUGAAGGCAAAUGAGGAGGCCAGGGAAAAGCAAGAAAUGGGGUCAGGUCAUAAGAUCCUUCCAAAUUAUAUUACAGAGCCCAGACUUUAUCUUAAGGGCAGUGAGGAGCUACUUAAACAUUUCAAAGAUUAUUGGUUACAUUGCCCAGAAAUUGUGGCAGAUGGUUAGACUAAAUGAUCUUUAAAUCCCCUGAGUAUUUAAACUAUCCCCAAUAAAUGCUUAUGCAUUCUCUUUCAAAUGCUAUCCUCAGAAAUAUGCUCUUUAAUAUUUAAAAAAAAUAAGCUGUUUUAUUUUUGCACCCUUUAUCCACAGAAUGGUAUAAAUUUAGCAAACUUUUCAUUACUAAUUAGUGAUGUGGAUGACUUCCUGCCUGGUGGGAUGAAGGGUUCAAUUGGGAAGAAAGUUGCAUCAAGAUGCAAAGGACAUAUAACUGUCUUACUCACACAAUAAAAGAUGAUUGAAGAUAUAUAAAUGAUUCAUUGAUUUGUGUACAUAAUUGAUAAAUUGAGUUUCAAAGUCAGAUGUUCUAGAUGUGUGACUAAGUUUCAACUUCUUUGUGUAUAAAAUUGGGAUAAUAAUAGUAUUUACUGUAUAAGCAAUUGAGAAUAUUUGGGAGAUAGCAUGGGAAAAAAAUCUAACAACUAGCACAAAAAGAAAUUUCUUAAUUAUUAGCUUUUAAUUUUUGUUCUUAUAUUUAGAUAUUUUAAAAUAAAUUUAACGAUAUGCAUUUUUUAGAUUCAUGUGCUGUGGGGUAUAUAGAAAUAGUGAAAUAGUUACUGAAGUGAAGCAGAUUGACAGGUCUCUGUUCUCACACAGUUAAUUUUGUGUAUUUAUGACCAGAACAGCUAAAACCUAUGUAUUUAACAAAAAUCAGUAAUACAAUACAAUUUUAUUCACAUUAUUUUCAUUCUAGUGGUAGUAUCAUGUUUCAGUCAAGUUGAAAAUAGGAGUUAUCAAGGAUAACACUGAAGAACAGUCCCUACCAUGACCCUACUUCGUUGUAGUAAAAUCUCUGUUAUGUGGACACUUCAGAUUCAGAGUUUUAAUAAUUUGAUUCAGUAUGAAAUUCUUUUCUGUAUGGCACAGAAACCAGUUUGCUUUUCAGAUGAAUAAUGGAAAGCCUAGUACUGGUAGAGAUGAUCAGGAGGUGGUAAUGUUAAGAUCUCUUUAAAAUAUUAUAUCUGUCAAUCUAUCCUCUCUCUCUUUCCCCUCCAUUUAUCAUUACAAGCACUUUUCAAGACAUGCAUGUGAUAUGCUGAUUAUAAACAUGACCAUAUUGACUUUUUCAAUUAUUUUCAAGUGUCAUUUAAAUUGAUAGGACCUUGAUAGUCAUUUACUUUAAAGAAUAUGUCCAAAAGCAAUUAUAUGACAUUUUCUUUGGAGAAUACUUUGUCCUUUUUACUUGGCACAUCCUGUUUUCCCCUGACUUCCCCUAUGUUACUCUUCAUGAGAAUUAUUUUCCUGAAUUCAUAGAGGUCACCAUUUAUUUUUCUUAUUCAGCAAAUAUUUAUUGAAUGCCUGAUUUGUACUAGGAAAUAGAUUGGGUACUAGACAUACAAGAAUGAAAAAAAAAAAAGACAAGAUAGAUCCUUUGGUCUUAGAACUUACAUUUUAAUCAUAAGUUUGGCUGAUAAUCUUUGGGAGCUGGUUAAAAAUGUGUAGAGGUAGGUAUAUAAAAAUAAAUGCAAUAAAAUUUGUCACUGUUAAGACUGCUAAAAUCAUCACUUCUUUGAUUAGUAUACAAAAUGACAAAAUUUUAGACAAUAACUUUUUAAGACAAUGUUUUGUAUGAGUUUAAGAUUCUAAAAUUACUGAAAUGACUCAGGGUGUAGAGAUCCGAAUGUUUCCCCCAUUAUCAAAUGAUUCCACCCCACCCUGGAGCCACUGAGUUCCUCAGUGAUUUGAUACAAAUAUUAAGAAAAAAUUAAGCACUCCUAGGCUAUUGUAGAAAUUUAAAAUGGAGAGUAUUUAAAUCUAAUAUUUAAAUCUACUCUCACCUUUAAUGAACCUAUUAAUGGUUUUUGUCUGUAAUGAAAAAGUUAAACUCCAAAAUUCACCAUUUCAGACCUCCACUGGAAUCUGACCAGUAGCUUUUGUUCUUCCUGUCUUGUCUUUAAUUCUGAAGGAAUCCUGAAAACUCCAAGGACUUUUGAUAUAGAGAGAAAAUGACACUGAAGCUAUACCCUGUAUCUCUGAGCAUUGCCUCAUUUUAGUGAGUUCUACCCAGCCUGGCUUGUUUUAUUUCUCUCUGUCUCUGCCUCUGUCUCUGUCUGUCUCCGUUUCUGUCUCCGUUUCUCUCUCUCUCUCUCUCUCUCUCUCUCUCUCUCUCUCUCUCUCUCUCUUUCUCUCUCUCUCUCUGUCCUUUCUUCCUUUUAAAAAUCCCAUAUGUCAGGUUCAUGUAUUAUUCAGCCUAUAGUUGCUGAAUGUCUCUUAGAUGCCAGACAUUCAUAGUUUUUUCUCUUUCUUCCCCUAGAAAUACAGAAUUCAAUCUAUAAUUUCUCUAAGCCUAAGCACUCGUUGUUGGUCCUCCAACCAGUACCUGCCCCACUCACUUAGCGAAAGUAAGUUACCUUCCCCCAAAGCAGCCAGCUAUACUGUUUCACUACUAACUAGCUGCGUGAGCACGAGGAGACUCACUGAAGAAAUGCAGUGGCUUGUUCUAUGGAUUCGCUUUUCAUCAAACUUGUAGCCAUCAUCUAUCAUUUCAAAACAACCUUACUUGUAGUGGUAAAAUAUGGUUCUUAAUCUAGAAAAACUCCCACUGUAUUAUUUUUGAAAACCUCUUUCUAAAUUUACAUAAUUUAUUUAGAAGUGUAAUUAUUAGGAGAGCUCAAAUCUUCUCCAACCUGAUGCUAUGAUUGCUUAAACUGUGACUUUUUUUAACUUUUCAGCUGCUUGUAGCCACAGGACUCAUCCAUCCAUCUGUCCACCAUCCCACUGCAACACUGUAAACUAAACCUUGCUCUAAACCGUGGGUCCAAGACUGAGACCAAGGCAGUUCCUCCUCUCAAGGAAUUUGCAUUAUAUGAUACACUAAGGGCCAUAGAUGUAUCUCGUCAGCUGAACACUUUGGGUAUAUAAUCUGAGCUUUAGACAUUGACUUUUGUCUUUCAAUCAGCUGUCAUGACCUCAGAGAAAUGUUCUUGCAGUAACUCUAGAGCAUUAUGUGGGUACCUCUGACCUGGCGUGUCAUUUUGUCUUUAUUACAGUUGUAAUCACUCUGAAACAUCGCAUGGGGAUACAUCCUCAGUGGGUGCAUGAAAAGCAUUUGUAGAACUAUGUUGAGUUUAAAUUCGUUCGAUCCCUAUAACUAUGUACUAGUGGUCUGAAAUUUCAAUAAAUGACACCUGUUUAACUAUUAUAUUUCAAGAAAUAUAGAAAAAUAAGAAAAAAAGAUGAUAAAGUUCACAGAUACCAUCGAUAAUUCUGUUAUAAAUAGUCAUUGGAGAAUAUGGCAUAUGGUAGGUAUAUAAAAAAAAAUAUAUAUAUACCCUUCCAAGAACAAGUAGACUUGUUUGCCCAGUCACCAGCACUGCUGGACCAUGCCAUAGGACAGGUUUUGCUCCUUAAAAGAGAAGCAGAGGAGGAGAGCUCCCUGAACAACUCAUAUGCACAAAAGGGAGGAAGAAAGAAGCUUACCUCACCUGUACAGUUUCUCCUUCUAAGCAGUAAAUCUCUGACAAGUUUCCGUUACUCUUCUUACUGCCCCACUUCCUCCAGGUGGGGUGAGGAGGCAGACAGACAGAAUAUUAUCUUCUUAAUGAAGACCCCUCCAACAGGGAGGAACCCUCAGAAGUCAAAGAAAAGAUUCCCUGGCCACGCUCAUCCUUGAUUUGGAUACAUGCUCGGUACCUAUUCCCUACCUUGUUCUUUAUAUUUGUCUUAGUUCACACCUGAGUCCUCCAUCUAGGUAGUUUGAGUUAUAAAUUCUAAGAACACAGAUCCUACUUCCUGGCCUGAUUUCUCUUUCCUGGCCCUUAUAUAUAGGCCCACUUUUUCCUUCCUGGAUUAUGUCUGUCUGACUUGGCUCCCAGCCUGUUAGGAACUUAAUGUGAUGAAUGCACGUAUUCAUUAUUUGGCAACUAAGACAGGUACUUGAGACAAUGCUUGACACAUUCAAGAUAUAGAAGUGAUCAUGUGAGAGAUGGUUCUUUUCCUCCCAGAACUUCUGGACCGAGGCUAGAGAAGUAUACCAGGUAAUUAUAUGUCAACCCUGAUACUUAUUAAGGCAAAAAAAGCAAUUCAUCUGACAUACUGCAAGAUUUUCCCAGCACUGGCUAUAGAUACUGAAUUUAGAAACUUUUCCACGGUGUUUAAAUUGCCAAUAAAAUGGUUACUUACAAUUUUUCUAAUGACUAUCUUAGUUUUUUAUUCUUUUUAAUUUUUCUAUAACAUUUAUUUCUGAUAUAGAAGGGGAAAGAAAGGGAAUGAAACUCUUCCAAAGUUCCAUUCAGCCAAGAAAAAAAAAAAAAAAUCAAA